ACUGCUCAGUAACACGUGGACAACCUACCCUUAGGUCGGGGAUAAACCCGGGAAACUGGGUAUAAUACCCGAUAGAUCUCGACUGCUGGAAUGCAUCGAGAUCGAAAGCUCCGGCGCCUAAGGAUGGGUCUGCGGCCUAUCAGGUAGUAGUGGGUGUAGCGUACCUACUAGCCUACGACGGGUACGGGUUGUGAGAGCAAGAGCCCGGAGAUGGAUUCUGAGACACGAAUCCAGGCCCUACGGGGUGCAGCAGGCGCGAAAACUUUACAAUGCUGGAAACAGCGAUAAGGGGACCUCGAGUGCCAGGUUACAAAUCUGGCUGUCGUGAUGCCUAAAAAGCAUUGCAUAGCAAGGGCCGGGCAAGACCGGUGCCAGCCGCCGCGGUAACACCGGCGGCUCGAGUGGUAACCGUUAUUAUUGGGUCUAAAGGGUCUGUAGCCGGCCGGAUAAGUCUCUUGGGAAAUCCAGCAGCUCAACUGUUGGGCUUUCAGGAGAUACUGUCUGGCUCGAGGCCGGGAGAGGUGAGAGGUACUUCAGGGG
rnacentral:rRNA from 1 species